AGAGCCAUCGCUCCAUGGUAGAGCAUCUGCUUUUCAUGCAGAAGGUCCCAGGUUCAAUCCCCAGGAGCUCUG